rnacentral:rRNA from 1 species
GCGAAUGGUGGAUGCCUUGACUGGUAAAGGCGAUGAAGGACGUACUAGACUGCGAUAAGCUACGGGGAGCUGUCAAGAAGCUUUGAUCCGUAGAUUUCCGAAUGGGGCAACCCAAUGUAUAGAGAUAUACAUUACCUAUAUAGGAGCGAACGAGGGGAAUUGAAACAUCUUAGUACCCUCAGGAAAAGAAAUCAAUAGAGAUUGCGUCAGUAGCGGCGAGCGAAAGCGCAAGAGGGCAAACCCAGUGCUUGCACUGGGGGUUGUAGGACUGCAAUGUGCAAGAGGUAAGUUUAGCAGAACAUUCUGGAAAGUAUAACCAUAGAGGGUGAUAGUCCCGUAUGCGAAAAACAAACCUUAGCUAGCAGUAUCCUGAGUAGGGCGGGACACGAGGAAUCCUGUCUGAAUCCGGGUCGACCACGAUCCAACCCUAAAUACUAAUACCAGAUCGAUAGUGCACAAGUACCGUGAGGGAAAGGUGAAAAGAACUGAGGUGAUCAGAGUGAAAUAGAACCUGAAACCAUUUGCUUACAAUCAUUCAGAGCCCUAUGUAGCAAUACAGGGUGAUGGACUGCCUUUUGCAUAAUGAGCCUGCGAGUUGUGGUGUCUGGCAAGGUUAAGCAAACGCGAAGCCGUAGCGAAAGCGAGUCUGAAUAGGGCGCUUAGUCAGAUGCUGCAGACCCGAAACGAAGUGAUCUAUCCAUGAGCAAGUUGAAGCUAGUGUAAGAACUAGUGGAGGACUGAACCCAUAGGCGUUGAAAAGCCCCGGGAUGACUUGUGGAUAGGGGUGAAAGGCCAAUCAAACUUCGUGAUAGCUGGUUCUCUCCGAAAUAUAUUUAGGUAUAGCGUUGUGUCGUAAUAUAAGGGGGUAGAGCACUGAAUGGGCUAGGGCAUACACCAAUGUACCAAACCCUAUCAAACUCCGAAUACCUUAUAUGUAAUCACAGCAGUCAGGCGGCGAGUGAUAAAAUCCGUCGUCAAGAGGGAAACAACCCAGACUACCAGCUAAGGUCCCUAAAUCUUACUUAAGUGGAAAACGAUGUGAAGUUACUUAAACAACCAGGAGGUUGGCUUAGAAGCAGCCAUCCUUUAAAGAAAGCGUAAUAGCUCACUGGUCUAGUGAUUUUGCGCGGAAAAUAUAACGGGGCUAAAGU